rnacentral:lncRNA from 1 species
UCAUCUACCUAACCUCAGUGCAUUUAUCUAUAUCUAUAAUCUAUCAUCUAUCAUCUAUCAUCUAUACAUUUUUCUUUCUAAAUUUGCCACAUGUUAACAUUCCCUUCAUUGUUGGAUUUAGAUUUCACCCCGAACCAGCUAAGAUCCUACGUAUAAUUUUCUCUUUCUUUAUUUGAACCCGACCGAACCGAAUUUUUCUCUUUCUUUACUUGAACUGAACCAAUCAUUGUUGAGUGUGGGCUCCUCCGAAUCAUUCCAAGUCCUUCACAUAUUUUUCUCUUUUUUUGCUUGAAACAAAUCAGAUUUUCUUUUUUUUUUUCUUGAGUAGCACUGGAUCACACUUCUAUAUUAGACCGAACUGUUUCUCUUCCACUUCCUUCGGCUGUUUAACAUCCUUCAUCGGCAAAAUGAAUCCCACCCCUUAUCGUCACUUCUUCUAUUGCUAUUUUCUCUUUCUUUGUCGUCAUUUUCUCUUUUUUUUUAUUAAAAUCGGAAUGGCGAAAAAUAGAUCCAGAAAAAUAUUUAAUGCAGGAAAAAAAAAAGAAAAAAAAAAAGCACACCGAUAUUUACGUGAUUCGACCAACAGCCUAUGUCUACGGACGAAGACAGAAUAAAGACUUUAUUAAUAUCAAAAAGCGGAGUACAAAGAAGAUCUCUCAAAGAUCAAAACUUACUUAGAUCCGAAGCACCGAAAUCAGCAUCCGUAUAAGCGACUC